CUUUGAUGAACCGAUCCUUCCCGUCGACCUUGAUGAACCCGUAUCCGAACCACCUGGCGGAAGCGGAUUGGAAAAGAAAACAGCGUAAUUUUUCGUUUCUCUCUUCUCAAUUUUCUCUUUCUCUCUCUUCUCAAUUUUUUUGUUGUUCCUUCCACGACGAAGGAUCCAACGACCGAGCCGAUAUCUUCUCCGUCGCCACCGGCGUUCUUCAAUUGAAUCGAGUGAUCUCCUUAAUCCACCAUCCAUGGAUCGAGCUUCGCUCCUCAUCCUCCUCUGUAUAUUCUUAUCUGACCGCGGCUAAUAAAACUCCAGAUAAGCUCGAUUUAGUAGCCAAAUCGCCGAUGAUUUUCCCGCUCAGCUACUCCUCCCUUCCGCCGCGAGUCGAGGAUCUCCGCCGCCGUCGUCUCCAACAAUCUCAGCUCCCCAAUGCUCACAUGAAGCUCUACGACGACCUCCUUACCAACGGGUUUGAAUUUUGAAUAAUUAGCAAUUUGUUUUCAAUGAAGAUCCUGAUUUUUCCUCAGGAUAUUCGUGAAAAUUGUGGUUUCCUCAAUCUUAUGCAGCUACUAUACGACACGAUUAUGGAUAGGGACACCUCCACAGGAGUUUGCUUUUAUUGUAGAUACUGGAAGUACUGUCACUUAGACUUGGAAAUUGUUUUUGGUUUGUAGCAUCAGGUGAUUAACUUACUUUGAUCUUCGUAGAUACUUGUUUGUAGAAGAAGAUGAUCUUCAGGGAGUAACGUAUGAUGUAGCUAUGGUGAAAUCAAUUAGAUUUCAGUAGCGCUUUGAUUAAGGUGUAAUGAGAGUAUUGAGUCUGUUUUAAUUCUCCUUUUCGAUGAGUUUUGCUGCAGAGUUUAUGCUUUGCCUUUCUCUGAUUAGGCUUGGAAAUGGUUUUUGGUUUUGAUCGUGGUAAGCUCAGUAUUGUAGAUCAGCUUGUUGACAAGGGUGUUAUCGAGGACUAUUUUUCGUUGUGUUAUGGAGGAAUGGAAGUUGGUGGUGGUGCUAUGGUACUUGGUAAAAUAUCUCCUCCAGCUGGUAUGGUGUUUUCCCGUUGGGAUCCUUUCCGCAGUUUCGGGUGUUUGCAGUCCAUACUAUACCAUUGACCUGAAACAAAUGCAUGUUGCUGGCAAGUCUCUAAAGCUAAACCCAAAGGUCUUUAACGGAAAGCAUGGAACCGUGUUGGAUAGUGGAACAACGUAUGCUUAUUUUCCAAAGAAUGCGGUCAUUAAAGAAAUUCCAUCUCUCAAACGGAUCCAUGUUCCAGACCCAAAUUAUGAUGAUAUUUGUUGUAUGUUUCUUAAUAAAUUUUAUACUUCUUAAAAGUACUAUUAAAUGUUUUUUAUAAUUUCAAUAUUUUUUCUACUUGUAAUAAAUUGUAUUUUUGUUUUAUAAUAAU